AGUGAACGCUGGCGGUAGGCCUAACACAUGCAAGUCGAACGGCAGCACAGUAAGAGCUUGCUCUUACGGGUGGCGAGUGGCGGACGGGUGAGGAAUACAUCGGAAUCUACUUUUUCGUGGGGGAUAACGUAGGGAAACUUACGCUAAUACCGCAUACGACCUACGGGUGAAAGCAGGGGAUAUUCGGACCUUGCGCGAAUGAAUGAGCCGAUGUCGGAUUAGCUAGUUGGCGGGGUAAAGGCCCACCAAGGCGACGAUCCGUAGCUGGUCUGAGAGGAUGGUCAGCCACACUGGAACUGAGACACGGUCCAGACUCCUACGGGAGGCAGCAGUGGGGAAUAUUGGACAAUGGGCGCAAGCCUGAUCCAGCCAUACCGCGUGGGUGAAGAAGGCCUUCGGGUUGUAAAGCCCUUUUGUUGGGAAAGAAAAGCAGCAGGUUAAUACCCCGCUGUUCUGACGGUACCCAAAGAAUAAGCACCGGCUAACUUCGUG
rnacentral:rRNA from 1 species